AGCGAAAUGCGAUACUUGGUGUGAAUUGCAGAAUCCCGUGAACCAUCGAGUCUUUGAACGCAAGUUGCGCCCGAAGCCGUGAGGCCGAGGGCACGCCUGCCUGGGUGUCACCAAUCGUCGCCCCCACCCCGAUGCCUCCUUUGGCUCGGCGCGUGCGGGGCGGAUGCUGGCCUCCCGCGAGCGAGCGCCUCGCGGCUGGCUGAAAAUCGGGUUYGUGGYCGAGCGCGGCGCCAUGACAGACGGUGGYUGGGAGUGCAAAUCUCGAGACCGGUCAUGCGCGUCUCCCGGCCRGUUACGGACUCCGAGACCCGCGGGCGACGUGGAUCGAUCGCCCUUGAUGCGACCUCAGGUCAGGCGG
rnacentral:rRNA from 1 species